rnacentral:rRNA from 1 species
UACGGAGGGUGCAAGCGUUAAUCGGAAUUACUGGGCGUAAAGCGUGCGCAGGCGGUGAUGUAAGACAGAUGUGAAAUCCCCGGGCUCAACCUGGGAACUGCAUUUGUGACUGCAUCGCUGGAGUACGGCAGAGGGGGAUGGAAUUCCGCGUGUAGCAGUGAAAUGCGUAGAUAUGCGGAGGAACACCGAUGGCGAAGGCAAUCCCCUGGGCCUGUACUGACGCUCAUGCACGAAAGCGUGGGGAGCAAACAGG